rnacentral:lncRNA from 1 species
ACAUUAACAAUCAUAAUCAAGCAUUAAGGAAGCUCAAUUAAAUUUUAUUGAAGUUAUAAAAGAAACACAAGAAAAUCCAAAAGAAAUAUAAAAGAAUAUUAAAGAAAACUUAGUCAACCCUAACAAAAAUCUAAUAAAACCUUAAAUUCUAUUCAACCCCUAAUCCUAAUUCAACCUUAAUCAAAUCCUAGACAAACUCUAAAUCCUAAACCAAAUCCUAAUCAAACCUUAAUCAAAUCCUAAACCUUAAAUCAAUCCCUAACAAAAUCCUAAACCAAAUCCUAA